AGUCUCAAAGCACAUUGAUUUUUCUUUGAUGUGGCUUUGGAUGGGUGGGGGUUGUGUUUUUGCAGGCUUUCAAAAGUGAAGUCGGCUCCCCUGAAAUGCAUGAGUGGUAUCUGAGAAAGGCUACUUGCAGGCAUAAAUAAUUUAUCUGUGCCUCUUUGCCCAUACAAAAAACAGAUCACACUGCUUCUAACAAAAAUGACCAA
rnacentral:misc_RNA from 1 species